rnacentral:lncRNA from 1 species
UCAGUAUGUUUACUAAAAAAAUUCGUUAUAAGAACUAAACGUCCCCUAAUGACACAGUUCUACAUGUUUAAAGAAGAGAGGGACUCUAGUGUGGAUGAAUCAAUGACUCAUUUAGUGUCUAUUGAGAUUCGAUGGACAAUGCAAAGGAAGAAUAAUUUGGAUUGAAUGUGUUGGAACUCCCAUGUACCUAGUCAAGUCCUGAUGGACACUCCUCUAUCUCGAGGUCGUCUGAGUCCCAAUAAUUCUCAAGAUGUUUUUUUUCAUUGGAGUAGAAUCCAACUUAUACUACACAAGGAGCACAAUUAAUAAUUAAUUAAUACUAAGUAUCUUCCGAACUGACUCACUUCAAAUAUCUUUUUAUAAAGUAUUCACAUCUAUUAUGGAUUCCGAAUACACCUUACGAAGUAAAAACAUAACUCUUUGCUUGGUUAAGUAUAUUUACUGCUCCUAAGUCCAGGCCCUCUCAAACUGUUAGGGAACCCAUAAGAAGCGUGGAGUAUUCCUAGUGGAAGGGGAUAUUAAAAUAAUCAAAAUUGUUAUAUAUUUCUUAAAAGUACCUAGUUAUUCUGUGUCCGAAAUCCAGCAUUAUUACACUACAUUCCCUAAGAACCAAUACCUAUUGAAACUAAAUUAUGACAACAAAUGAUAUAUUGACAUGCUUUAUUUCUAUAAUUUUUUUUAUAUGUAAUAAAAGCAAGAACGUACUUUACAGAAUAUAAUAUUUAACAUUAACAAUGCAUAACGAUGUUAAAACGCAUGAAAAUUC